rnacentral:rRNA from 1 species
CCUACGGGUGGCAGCAGUGCGGAAUAUUGGUCAAUGGACGAGAGUCUGAACCAGCCAAGUAGCGUGAAGGAUGACUGCCCUAUGGGUUGUAAACUUCUUUUAUAUGGGAAUAAAAUGUUCCACGUGUGGGAUUUUGUAUGUACCAUAUGAAUAAGGAUCGGCUAACUCCGUGCCAGCAGCCGCGGUAAUACGGAGGCUCCGAGCGUUAUCCGGAUUUAUUGGGUUUAAAGGGAGCGUAGGUGGAUUGUUAAGUCAGUUGUGAAAGUUUGCGGCUCAACCGUAAAAUUGCAGUUGAAACUGGCAGUCUUGAGUACAGUAGAGGUGGGCGGAAUUCGUGGUGUAGCGGUGAAAUGCUUAGAUAUCACGAAGAACUCCGAUUGCGAAGGCAGUUCACUGGACUGCAACUGACACUGAGGCUCGAAAGUGUGGGUAUCAAACAGGAUUAGAUACCCUUGUAGUC